UGAAAAGCUUUGGUGGUUGGUUGUUGGGUUUUUUUGGGGGGGAGGGGGUCUGAUGAUAUUGUGGAUAUCAUCAAAGAUAUUCUCAUUUCGUUGCAUAAGGAUAACACAUUUUAUGCAUUGUGCAUUUGGACUUGUGUGUAAUAAACAUCCUAGAUGCAGUUAUCUCUGUCUGAGCAAGAAGUAAAAUAUGGUCACUUUCCAGCACAUAAGAUAAGCUUCUGAUGCAUGAUUCUAGUGAAAAGUGAGAGGAAGCUUCUUUAAGAAGGAACUUUGGUGAUACCUCCCCAGCUACUGCAGCUUUCAUAGUACUUGUCUACUUCACAUCUCAAUGCAGAUAAAAUCUCUUUGAGGUUGUAGGAAAAGAACAUUCAUCAUAGCUGACAUAUAUGGCAGUGCUUCUUUUUUUAAUCAGGGAUUACUGCUUUUGAUACUUUGGAACUUGGAAGGCAGAUGCAGAUGCAAAAUGGUCUGUGGUGUCCUCAGAGUUCUGGGGCAAGAUUUGGAGUAAGCUACCGGGGAAGGUCCUGGUAUGGUUGCUAGUCAAAACAAAUAAAGGAGAAUAUUUACUUCAUAAGGAAAAUUAGGAUCUACUAUAAACCAAAGCACAAACAUUUCUUUUAUUUUUGUUGUUUCUUCUUUUUGGUCAAACAGAUAAAACAAUAGGCACAAGUGGUACGGGGGAAGGCAGAAAGAACAUGAGGUGAAUUUGUGAGCCAUAAUUCACCAGUCAGCAAACAAAGGGCAUGAUGCCAGACAAGUUCAGCCAUAAAGGAGCCUUGUCUUGGGGGCAGGCUGUGAUUGUUUGUGGACAGAUGGUUGCUUACCAGUUCAUAAAAAUAACUUCUGGAUACCUUUUCCUCAACUGUGGUGUAUUUACCUGAAUUACGCCUGCCACAGAAAAGACAAGGUUAAGUUCUCUUAAGUUCACAAGUGUUGAACAGGUUUUCUGCGUCUGAAAGGGAUGCAGCUUUGAAUUCUGAGAUCUAAUCUUUUGCGUGGAUAAAAGCAAAACUUCUGGUACGCUGAGAAUGAUGAGGUGGGAGAGGGAGAGGCGAUACAGAACUUGCUUCUAGCCCUAAAAUCAGGCUGGCAAUCUGUGGAGAUACGGUAAUGCACAAGGCAUCUGCAUUUUUCAGAGAUUUGAAUAGCUUCCUAGAAGCUUGGCGUAGUAGGUAAAGAGGCUCUAGAAGUAGUCCCUCGGGUUUGUAAAAUCUGGACACGUUCCUACUCGGUAGCUUUUUGUGCCACAAAUGUCGACACCGUUUAUGUACAGCGCGUUUUGUUUUAUGUUUGAGAAGACAGAACUUUACUACAGGCAGCUGACUCUUUCUUGUAGCGGGUAAGAAGGAUGUGGAGACCAUAAGAGAAGCGUCUCUGCCUGUAGAUACCUUGCCACUGACUUGAGUUGAUGCAUAGACCUGACAUUUUGCUUUUCAUAUCCAGUAAUUUGAGUUCCCCUCCUUUUUGUGUGAUGUUUUAUAUCCUGUCUUUCCUGUAUUCACAUUCUGCCUUAAUGUUUUGCAUUGGUCUUGGAAGUCCCAUAGCGUGUUACUCUAAUACUGAAGUAGGAUAUUAAUGAUAGAGUUAGAAUACAUAUCUAAGAGAAAAGUGUCUGUGGCUAUGAAUGAAUCCCUUGCAGAAGAGGGAAGUAGAACUUCCUUUUAUUUGUUCCCCUGGGGAAAUAGAGAUAUGAGUAGCUGUUGUGGUUUUGCUGGCCAGUCCAGUAGCCACUUGCUGGCAGUCAGUUUGGCUGGCCACUUCCCCCCAACCUUUUUAACUUGCCAAAUACAGGCGUAAAUGUACAUUAAAUAUAUACAGAUAAUGCAAACGUAAUAACCAUGCUGAUGUACACACAAGGUGAUGCCUCUGCAUAUACAGGCAUAAAUGUACAUUAAAUAUAUACAGAAAAUGCAAACGUAAUAGCCGUGCUGAUGUACACACAAGGUGAUGCCUCUGCAUCUGGACCUAUGGGUUUCCUAACGGGCAGCUUCCAUUGGGCAGUUAAGCUCUACACGUGUAGUGGGUUCCCUGUCCCAUGCACAAAGAGGCUGGAUUCAUGCAAAGCAGAUUUAUGCAGGUGAUUUAAAGCCCUUCGGGCGGUUGGGAUGUGGUGCCUAGCAUCUCCAGGAUCCUGGAGGCAGCCUAACGUACGGGUGCAGACAGACACUACACAGAUGGUCAGAGUGAAAGGAUAUUAAAGUGGCUAAGUUAAGCGCUCAAAUGUUACAAAAUGCCAGAAUUAGGAAAUGCUUAUGCAAUCUUAAUUCUAUCCAUACAUCUAUAUAUUGCUUUGUGAUAAUCCUAAAAUAGAUUGCAUACCUUCCCCCCGCCCCUCCAUAGGAUGAUUGGUUUUUAUUCAGUGUAUUAAAUGAGUCUGCUCUGGGGAUGAAUUAGAGUGCGUGGUGAAGGAGAGUGUUGUCUGUUGAACUCUUACCCUCCUGUGUUCCUAUGAAUGCAAGAAGGGAAGACAUAAUCUCAUUGUUAAAGCAGCUGAAUGUUGCUUUGGAGAAGUUGAUUCUCUGCCAAGGAGUGUGAUGCUGGAUAAGCCAUUUACAUCAAUCUUUUAAUAGUGGCCAGGUCAGCACUACUAAUUUGUACGUAAAUAGCUACAGUUGUCAGGUGAGUUGUGACUUGUGGCCAUCAUAGCUCUUUGAUCCAAGUCUCCUAGUGUGCAGGAUACUUUGUUCCCCCACUUGAAAAUGUAGAAGAGGAGAUGGAGGAAUAAAUAUGUCUGUGGUUGCUACGUCUUGUUGCCGCUCUUGCAUUGUGUUCUUCAUUUUAUCAGUUCUCUUUGGACUCCACGUGUGCAUCUGCACCAAAGGCUGCUGGAAGCUGUGUCCUUUGAACACUCACAAUGCAAUACUUAGUACUAGCAAGAAUCAGAUUUUAGCUACUUAGAGAUUCUUCAGUUCUUAAUUUCUGGCUGCCUCAGUUUACCAUCUGUAAAAUGGAGCUAGUAUUCCUUCAGUUCACAGAAGUGAUGAAAAUAUGGCGCUUGUGGUCAGUCAUGAUGUUCUUGGUGCGAGCAAUGCAGAAAAAGCAGUGUCUCUUCACUUGGCUCUUUGUCUGCCUUUUCUCUGCUGAAUUUAGUACUAUGUCAGCUUUUCUUUUCUUGGCAUUUUAUUUCACUGCUUUUUACAGCUGGCAAUGUAAGGGUGCUCAUCCUUGCCACAUUGUUCAGCCUUUACUGCAGUUUGCUUAGUUGUCCUGUGUCUGUUGAGAAAUCGGACUGUGGGACAGUAACCCUUGAGGCACGCAAGCCUGAACAAAAUCCUCAAAAGCACACAAGCUUGAACGAAAAUGGUCAAAUUUGGUUUGAACUCCUGUUUUUUGUUUCAGUACAGGUUACUGCACAAACUGUUAUUUUGCACGUGUGAACUAUUUUAGUUGAGUUAGUAAUUUUAACCAGUGAGAUGCUUCUACACUGAAAUAAGAGCUCAGUGUGGAAGAAGGGGAACAAAAAUGUUUUAGUGGGUGGGAGAGGGGGUUGAGAGAAAUGCUUCAUCCUGCCUUUCUUCCGCCUCUUCUUCCUUCUCUGUGCCCAUUUGAAAGCUUGUCUUCCUCCCUUCCCUCCUCCCUUCAUUAUAGCGUUAUGAAGGUUAUAAUAUUUAUUUUGAGCCACGGGGAAGAUCAGGCUUAUGAGACCAGUGCAGUCUAGGUUGUGGUCGGAGGAUGACCACCCCUGCCCUUCCCUUUAUGCAAUGGUCAAAAUAAGCAUGGAGCAGUGCUGGAGCAGGGGAGGAAAAGAUGAUUGCCUUGCCAGCAUUUCAUUGCUGCCAAGUGGCACAGGAAAAGGGGGGAGAAUGGAGAGGGGAAGGUGGAGGCUGGGGCUGGAGUGAGUGCAGGGAGCCAGGUAGGUUGUGAGAAGGGAGAAGGACCAGGGAGAGGGGCAGGGAAUAGGUAGCUGGAAAAAGGCAAGGGCUAGCUUCACUGCAGAAGUUGAUUCUGGUGAUUUUUAGGGGAGGAAGGGAAGAGGCAGCACAGGUUUUUGUGCUCCAGGGCACCGGAGGCUCUAGAGACUCCCAGUUCAACCAGUGCCACCCCACAAACCUGUCAUUUGCAUGUCUGCCUUUUCUGUCUGCGCAUCAGCUGUCCAGACAGAGCCUCUCUUCCAGGGCCAUUUGCCUUAGAAACAGGCAACGUUGAGGAGUUUCUAGGAAAGAAAUAAGGUUGUCUUAUUUUGAGGUGGCUUAAUUUGCAAAGAGAGAGAGUACAUACGCCUCUGAGAUGAGAUGUAGCACACUGGAGUCCAUCUUUAUAAGCAGUAAUGAUGCUCCUCUUGAAUAUAGGAUACACUCAGUUUUCCUGUUGGGGAAAAAAAACCAAAACACCCAGCUCAGUUGCCCAGAGCUGGUUCUAGCCGAUGAGUAGUGUGGAAAAGUGGUGAAUCAGGCUGCAAGCUCAGCUCCAGCGCUGGCAGGGUGAGGGUUAUGGGUGUCCAAUUUACUAGCCAAAGUUGAGCCAUCAUUUUGCCUUGUAACUGACUGUAAAUUUCACACAUUUGAAACAUCAUUUGUGUUACAGCCAAGUAGAAUUAAUUCUGAGCACAGUGAAGGCUGUGUUUUUAAUAAAAGGCCGUGUUUAUAAAUAAUCGAGUAACACACACAUAGUGGGGGCUCCUACUGAAAGGACAGAAACAGCAAAUUAUUGUUGUAGUCACAAGGAAGGUUAUCAGACAACGCAGUGUCUAAUAACAGCAUUAAAAAGGCCUGAUCCUGUAGGAUGCUGGGUGCUCUUGGUUCCUUUUGAUUUUUUUAGCCAGUUUUUGAGGUACCCAGGGCUGUACAGAGUCAGACCCUGAAGUCAUUAAGCAAAGAGCAGGGUGUAAGAAAUACAGUACAAGAACAACUUGUUCCUAGUAAUAGCUUUUGUUGCCCAAACACUUGGGUACGCUUAUUUCUUGUUUGUGAUAGCUGGUUAUAGUAGCUCCGGUUGUGGUCUCUGUUGUUUUCAUCAAAUUUGUAAUAUGUUCUAGCUUUGGAUGCACAGUUUCAAAGUCUUCUGCUGAUGCGAGCCGGAAUUUGUGCUCGGUUUGGUUAAUGCUAUGUCUUCUGUCACUGCAGUGCUUCUAUAAACACGGCGGAUGGUAUGUAGUAGCUUGGUGUGAGAGGCUAAGAUAAAACCCCAGCUGUUUCUGAAGAUACUGCCUGCUGCUAUCAAGAGGUUCAGCCUGUACUGGCAAGAGAGGCGGGUAGAGCACGGAUCCGGUGAUUGCCUCCCCGGGAUCAGAAGCACACGUGCAGUUCUGCAGGCCCCGCGGGCAGCGUCCUGGCAUCUCCUCUCUUCCCUCUUCCAGUUGAGCUCUGCUGGAUCUGCUGUAGCCAUGGCUCCUGGAGUCCCUACAGGCAGGAUGGUGAGGCCAUGAAGUGGCUCAUCUUGUGAACCAGGGAAGAUGAGUUUUAAAACCAAGAUAAUCUUGUCUAGAAUUUAUGGCUUUUGGAAGUGGAACAUCUCAGGGCUACAUAAUUACAGGCAUCCUGCCCCACAGCCAUGUAAAUUUUCCUACAUAUAAAUGUUCGUUGCUGUCUUUUACAUUCCUCUGCUGACAGUGAAGAGGUCAUGCUAAAUCAAAUUGAUGCAGAAACUGGACAGUAUCUUUACCCAGGAUGUCCAAAUUAAUUCUACCAAAACAAGAGAGUUUUGGUUGUAAACUAUUCCACAGCUGCUACUGGAAAGAAGCAGGUGACCUUUGGAGAUAAGAUAACAGUAUAUUCCAAAAGGGUUUCCUUCUACUUCUUUUCAUGAAUAUACCUGCUUCUGAAGAGUGUCUUGGAUGCCACACGCAAUGCGCUGCAAUGAGAAGAGGAGCCAAGCAGCAGGAUUUAUGAUGUUGUUUAUCUGUUGGUGAUGUUUCGUCAGUUCUGAUUUAUGGCAGAACUGCGCCUGGGCCCAGUGAGGUGACCACCGAUCACUGGCCACUAGGAAAGGAAAUCCAUCUUUUCAUCAGUGCAUUUUCCCCUGAGCUGCUCUGACAGUGCCAGUGCUGUCCCGCAAACAGACCGUAUAGUGGAGAACCACCAUGGAAAGAAGCCAGUCUGUGAGCAGUGGGGCUAAUAAAACGUGGUUUCCAUUGGCUUGGUGCCCUGGGUCCCUUUUCCCUUCACAGUGGACUACGCUGACCUCUCUCCGUUUCUUCCAUGGCACACCAUGCUGUAAAGAGCAGCCUGGCCAACUGGUGCAUCUGAGCUCUGGCUGCUUUUCCCUCAGAGCAAUCACUCAUUUGGGUUGGCCAACAGCUCCGAAAGUUUUCUGGGAGGGAGGUUGGGGGAGAGGGAGGGAGUGGCAAGAGGUAAACAGAUGGAAAGAGGCAGAUAGCACAAUCAUUUAAGCCUCCUUACGUACAAAACUGAACUGAAAAUGGCUGCCACCAGUGAUUACCAUUAAUGAAAGCUUAUCCAGGAUGCAGCAGUGGGAUGUCGAAGGUGUGACAGCACCAGCCAUGCAUUUGGGCUCUGGUGCAGUGGCCUGUGCCUCUCCCCCCCGCCCCACUUUAAUUACAGUUCCAGUAACUUUCAGGAUCUUUUUGUCAACAAUCAUAAUCACCGGCCGAGCUGGGUUCACCAUCCAAAGUCCAUUUACUUCCUCGCAAGAGGUGGAGAUUGAUGUAUGUUGAAACCCAACCCUCUUCCUGCAUCUUUACAAAUGUGGGCAUCAUAUGUUUUCCCUGGAAAUGCUUCUUUCGUACAGAUUUCCACAGGCUAUUCACCCGAUCUGGGAGAUUAAACGGGGUUAUAAUAGGAGAUGACAUAAUAGUUGUACUCUGGUAGCCGGUUUCCAAACAUUUUGCAACCGUCAGUUUUAUCUUUAAAAAUAUACCAACUGUUUUUUUAUAAGAUAUGUCUUAUUUUGUGUGUGGUGUCUAGAUGCUCUAGAUAGAUCAGGGAUUCACACGUCUGAGUUUCUGGCCAUUCAAGCAGAUGUAUGCUGUAAAUUGUGGUCUGGCUUAGGGGGCUGGAAAGGAAACGGUGCCUCAUUACCGCUGAGGACCUUAGCCCAGAAUUAUAUUUUAUUUACCUUUUGUUGUGAUCUAUGUUGAAAUGUAAGUUGUGAUAUACUGUGUAGUACCAUGGACGAUGCCGAGUAAAUAAAGAGAAACUUCAUUCUGAAAGAGGGCAACAUCUUAAAAAUUGUGCCUAAGAUUAGGCCGAUAAAUCAUCCUCUUCUGGGCAGCCGAGGACCUGCCGGUCACUGGAAGUCAAUUGGACCAGCAGAUGCUGCUCCCAGAGGAAAGUUGGCAGAUGAUAAUUACUGGUGUGAAGAUAACCUUAAGCACCCAAGUUUGAAAGUGUUUAUUAAAAUGUUUAUCCUUUAGCUGGCUGUUGUUUUAAUCCAAUAUAUUGAUCACAGAUUCGGGAGUUUUGCGAAAGUGCUUCAAGAAGCUUAUUUAAGCAUUUACUACACAUAUCUAGGUUCAAAGAAGUGGAUUCCAAAUGGUGUGGCGGGUUCUGCGUAGAGACAUUUGGAAUGAAAUACUGUAUGUUUGCAAGUGUUAGUCAAACCCCUAGUGACCUUUAACUCACAUAAUAAAGUCGCUAUCCAAGUGUCUCUGCUUAAGAGAACUCAGCAUUUAAACCUGCAUUUAAAAAUUGAUUUGGUUGAAUGAUACUAUUCAUCUUGUCUGAGGCCCCAGCAUGUCCUGGAGGAGAUAAAAGGAGUGUUUCCCUUCGAAGUGUUGUCAAACGAGAAGGAAUGAUGGUGCCUCAGUUUUGCGUAUGUCAGCGUAAUAGAAGCUUAGUCAUGCAAAUCCUUAUUACUUGGCAGUUCUGCAGCAGGGAAAAACAGAGCGUUACCAUAUUUUAUCAGUGUUUGUAGUUUAAAAGUAUGCCUUUCAUUGUGCUUUUUAAGAGCAGAUGUCAAGACAAUCUUGAAAACAUAAAUAAGUGCUAAAAAAUAUUUUUCUGAUUUAAAACUGAGGGAAACCACCCUGUAGCCAGCUGAAUGUGUUGGUCUUCGUUUCCAUAAAAAGACAUGAAGUGUUUAUAUGUUUCCUUCCACUUCCAUGGUGGGAAAUAAAAUGAUUAUUCAGUUAA